UCCGUACUCACUACGCAUCUUUAAAAGACUUGGGACAUGAGGUGAUCUGGUAGUAUCCAUUGUUUGGAGACUGAUUUGAAGGGAUGUGCUAUAUCAUGGACGUCUCAAAACAGUUUUCUCAAAAUGAGAUGUUAUGCCCUUGAAAUAAAAAGCUCCCAUUCCAUGACUCAUCACCUUUCUACCGAAUGCGUGCAUAUGUGGAUGUGCUUCUCGAUGUAUCUGCGAUCUUCCCACUGUGCUGAUCACAAGUCACGGCGGAAUGUGGCAGAAAGGCAAUGGCAACUCGACAGUCCGGUUGGACGUCUGCGUGUGACGAGCUAGACCAAAAGGUCACACACUUCAAAAAUGCUGUUCUGCACCUCUGACAGCUUUAUAAGGCUUGUGUAAACAUAAACCCC